rnacentral:snRNA from 1 species
GUUACAGCUCUUUUACUAUUUGUGUAGCAGGUUCUUGCCAUUGUAGGAGCCACCU